GAUGAAGAACGCAGCGAAAUGCGAUAAGUAGUGUGAAUUGCAGAAUUCAGUGAAUCAUCGAAUCUUUGAACGCACAUUGUGCCCCUUGGUAUUCCAUGGGGCAUGCCUGUUCGAGCGUCAUUUGUACCUUCAAGCUUUGCUUGGUGUUGGGUGUUUGUCUCGCCUCUGCGUGUAGACUCGCCUUAAAACAAUUGGCAGCCGGCGUAUUGAUUUCGGAGCGCAGUACAUCUCGCGCUUUGCACUCAUAACGACGACGUCCAAAAGUACAUUUUUACACUCUUGACCUCGGAUCAGGUAGGGAUACCCGCUGAACUUAAGCAUAUCAAUAAGCGGAGGA
rnacentral:misc_RNA from 1 species